AUUAGAGCUAGUGAAACAGGAGAAAAACAUAUUUGUCAUAAAGCCUAUGUAACUACUGUGAUAAUCGUAUAGGCCUACUCCAUGUUUUUCAUAUUGCCUUGUCAUUUAAUGUGUCAUAGCAUCGUACUGCAUGGUAUCUUGUCCAUCAUCCUGUUUGAACAAGUGUGUGCGCGCGCGCGCGCGUGUGUGUGAGAGAGAGACCGCUCUGUCCAGUAUUAGACGCCAGAUGACGCUCUUGUCUAACGGUCUCUGCCUUUUCAGCCCAGACCCUUGCAUGAUUUCAAUACCGAGAAGUUAUCGGACACGUUCCCCUAUCUAUCAAUAACCUCCUGGGGAUCAAGCCAAUUUAUGAGUGGCCAGGAGCUGCACGUGAUUCUAGUUAAACAUUCCAUAUUUGGGCAUUACGCGUCGUAUCAAGAAAAAAGGAAAUGAUUUCCUCCACCUAUAAAUCGUGCUCUUUUUUUUAAGGACAAGCCUAACGUCCUCUAGAAAUACAAAUAAAGCCCAAUAAACAAAUUAAACUUCUUAACAACUUAUGUUCACCUUCUUAGCUGACUCAGUCUCUGCCGUGACCGAGUGCUUUUUGUGAGUCUCUUCAAGGUUAUAUUGUUUUGGGGAAAAGAAUGAGCUCAUACGUUGGAAAGUCUUUUUCUAAGCAAACGCAAGACGCCUCCUCUUGUAGAAUGCACACUUUUGGCAACUAUGGAGCUCACUCUGAGUUCCACGAGUCCAAUUACGCGUACGAAGGACUUGAUCUCGGCGGAUCGUUCAGUGCUCAGAUCCCCUCCAACUCUUUGAAACGGGAGGCGAUAAACACAACCGAGCGUGCAAGGAGCAGUGCAGCAGUUCAGCGAACACAGUCCUGUUCAGCUCUGGGCUCGCGUAGCUUUGUAGGCACUCAGGGGUACAACCCCCUCAGUCACGGACUGUUGAGCCAAAAAGCCGAGGGGAAUAUGGAAGUUAUGGAGAAGCCCAGUGGCAAGAGCCGAACAGACGAUGUCAAAAUGGAGACUAAUUCAGCGAUAAAGCAACAAAGUAACUCGACUCAGCGUCAGAACCAGUCGCAGGCGCAGAUAUAUCCGUGGAUGACAAAGCUACACAUGAGCCACGGUAAAGCGCAUAAGGAAAUUGUGAACGUGAGGGCAAGGAGGACCUCAGCGUUGCACUGGAGAGCAGUUCUGCAUGGAGACAACAUGCUGAAGAAAAUUCAUCAAAACAUUAUGAAGGCCAUAUGUGGAACUUUCAAAAAAUCUCUCAACCUCCUAUUCAUUCUCUGCUGGUGUCAACCAGUCCACGAAUGAAACGACGAACUCAUUGGACCAGGCGAAUGCAAAGGAAAGAGAUGAAGGGUGCAAGCAGUCAACUUCCUGCUUUCCACCAAAGUAGCCUUGGAUGAGAGAAACACAUACACCUAUAAACUUCAGCUCCAUUAACAUCAUGGAAUUAGUUGAUUCCAGGUACAGCAGUGGUGAAGUACAGGAUAGCAGCUGUUCCAACAGUGAACGGGCAUAUGCAGCAUUCACCUCGUCCCAGAAUCCAGCUGUCAGCACUAAAAUAUCACUAAAGCAUGAUUCACAUCAAUGACUGAAUUCUCUUCGAUAACUGAAAUACAAAUUCUUCACAAAAUAUGUGCAUGUUCUGUCACUGACCAGUUUUUCCACCCAUUAUAACUCUCUGACAUGACUUAUAUUUAAGGAAAUUGAAGAUUUAUUUCCCUUAGAUAACGAUUUAUAUGAAAAUGAAAUUUCAAUAGCUAUAUUUGCUCUAAACUGCUCAUGUUAUCAGCUAGUACAUGGUAAAUCAAAGCUAGUUUCCACUGUGCAUUAACUGCUGUAGGAAUAUAUUUGCAAAGCACCAAGAUUUAUUGCGCUUGGAUGCAGGCUCACUUGUACAAUCUCUUCGGCACAGAAAAUAAAAUUUAAAAAGGGCUUUCAAGACUUUGAAUCGUCAUUAACAUCCCCUCAUGUUUUGUAACAACAUAUUUUUAUUGCUCUCAGAAUUAUAUGUUAUUUUUCACACAGAAUGUGAUGAAACUUUUAACUUGGAAUGUUUUUGAUUAUAAUGGCCAGAAAUCUUAAAAUAUUCAAACCAUGUUGAAUUCCAAAGAUUUGUUCUCUUACUGACUAUGCUCUACUCUGAGUAUGACUUUACACAAAGUUCUGUUUUCCUGUUGAUACUGAAAGUAUACUGAAUUUAUGAUGUUUUGACUGACAAAUGAAUAAAGCAACAAAACAGAAUUAAUUUACUGUCACAAUAUUAAGUCAAUGUCAGAAUUCUUGCUUUGAUAAUGUUUUGAUUUGAUUUGACCUAUUCAUGUAGACUCAAGUGUGAACAAGAAAGAGCUGCAAUGUGAAAUAUGUAUAUAUUUCUAGAUCUUGCUACUUCUAUAGUAAUUUGGUCAUAUCAGGUGAAAAAACAUGCAUUUUGUUGCUUAAAAUCUAAUUAAAUCUCCCUGGGGUGCAUUUCCCAAAACCAUAGUUGCUAACCUGUUAGCAACUUAGUUGGUUGGCAAUGGGAAAUUGCAUUGCAACCAACAAAGUGGGGAAGUCAUGGCCUAAUGGUUAGAGGGUUGGACUCCCAAUCGAAGGGUUGUGAGUUCUAGUCUCGGGCCGGACGGAAUUGUGGGUGGGGGAGUGCAUGUACAGUUCUCUCUCAACCUUCAAUACCAUGACUUAGGUGCCCUUGAGCAAGGCAUCGAACCCCAACUGCUCCCUGGGUGCCGCAGCAUAAAUGGCUGCCCACUGCUCCAGGUGUGUGCUCACAGUGUGUGUGUGUGUUCAUUGCUCUGUGUGUGUGCAUUUCGGAUGGGUUAAAUGCAGAGCACAAAUUCUGAGUAUGGGUCACCAUACUUGGCUGAAUGUCACUUCACUUCACUCACUUUCACUUCACUUCAAAGUUGCUAACUUAGUUAGCAAUUAUGGUUUUGGCAAACGCACCCCUGGAUAGUUAAUAAAGGUGACUGUAUUGCAUGUAAAUGACAAUGUUGUCAUUCUUGUUUUUUCAGAUCUUCUUUGUUAGUUUGGUUAAAAAUAAUAAUAAAACGGCUGAGAACAA